rnacentral:lncRNA from 1 species
AGACAGGACCGUUGAAGCGACAAGGGCACCAGUAUAUGCUUACUAGAUGGAUAUACAGUGUUUAUCCUGGGUGGAUAUCCAUGGAGACAGAUAACGUCUUGUUUGAAAUUUUGAUGGCUUGGUAAACACUGGGAACCAGGCUUCUCCAGAGCUCCCUUUUCAACCAUUAACCGUUUUUCUUGCCAUGUCUAGAGCAGGUAGCCACCCCCCGUAGACAUUUUUCACAUUUCAUCAUGAUAGAACCUGAAAUUCUGAUGCAAUUAAAUGUAAUUAUUUUUAUGCAGGUGUAUAAUAGCAAGGGGGGCGUGGUGGCGCGGUCCUGCUCUCCGGUGGGUCUGGGGUUCGAGUCCCGCUUGGGACGCCAGUCCAUCACAAGGCACCCCAAGCGGGACUCGAACCCCAGACCCGCCAGAGAGCAGGACCUGGCCAAACCCGCUGCGCCUACAUGAAUUCAGAUAAAAUUAAAACAUAAGCAAGACCGACAUACUAUCCAGAACAUCUUUCGUAAUAUUUACAGCAGUCACCAGGACUGAUCAAGUUCAAUGUUAAGAACAGCCUCCUUCUCUCUCAGCCUGAGGCCAGAAUUGGAACUUGUGAUGAUGGAAAGAAGCACUUUUGCUGUGCACAAACUCUCAGGUUUAACUGACUGACCUAGUAGCUCCAAGUACUGCUUGCAACUAAUUAUUAAAAUUUAUUAAUUUAGUUGGCACAACUCUCCAAAGUGGCUUACGGUGUCAGGUUUGAAUCCGAAGCUUCUUACACUCACUUACCCCUGUUUACAUGCUUUUUACUAGUGUUAUUGAGGGUAUGUAGCUUGCUCAAGGGUUACACAUCGAUUGAAACCCAAGACCCUCAAAUUGCAAGGUUAUGAUUCCAUGCCAAUUGCUGGCUCUAAUAGAAAAAAGCUGAUAAUUAAAAGUUAGCAAAAAUAUAUAUAAAUGCAGAUUAAUAUCUUUCAAUACCCUUUAUAGCACAUAAUGCUUCUCUGACAGCAGUACAUUUUGUACUUGUUCAUCUCACACACACCAUCUGAACUGCUUGUCCCAUACAGGGUUGCAGGGAGCCAGAGCCUACCCAGCAACACAGGGCAUAAGGCUGGAGGGGGAGGGGACACACUCAGGACAGGCUGCCAGUCCAUCACAAGGCACCCCAGGCAGGACUCGAACCCCAGACCCACCAGAGAGCAGGACCUGGUCCAACCCACUGCGCCACCACACCCCCCA